CCACAGAGCCUGAAGAUAAACAGCAUAGGAUUUGUGGUUGGUUGAAUCCGCGGAUGCGGAACCGUAGGCAUCCGGGCAUACAGAAGACUGACUGAUUUAUACAAGAUCACAGAGGUUUCCUAAUUUAUCUCAUCAAAAGAUGGCUGAGCUGCAAGGAAUAAGGAAUAGUUAUAUGACCACAUUAUGCUUCCUAAGUACUUUUUUCUAGGAAUCAAAGGUCAGGUUUCAUUGGCAGUGAAGAUAAAGGCAACCACCUAGAAAAGGAACAAAAAUCUAUUAGAGGAGCCCAGACAAAGAAAUUCUCUGGUGGUUUUAACAGUUACUGGGCUUCAAUACUAAUCGAGUGAGUGAGUGAAUGAAAGCAAAAGGACAAAACAAAACCAGCGUAAAUGAAAUACUGAAUGUAAAGCAAUUAAUGUGACUGGAGUGAGAAAGUGAGUUAAUAUUUUAAGUCUGACUUAUCCCACAGCUCUCAAUAACCUCUCCUGUUCCCAGAGCACACUGG
rnacentral:lncRNA from 1 species